AUGGUGCGAGCAGGUGACGGUCCGCGGGAUGGUGGUGGACUAGACCGACCUCUCCUCUCCCUUUCCUUGGUUCCCACCGCCACGCCGGUGCUCAACAAGGACGACUACCUCGCCAUCUGCCUCACCGCGCUCGCCGCCACCAGCAAGGAGCAGCAGGCGGGCGCGUGGAACCCGUCCCUUACCCGGGCUUAGGAGCUGUGGUUCAGCUGCGCGGUCUGCGGGAAGGCGUAUGCGUCAUACUAGGCGAUCGGCGGGCACAAGUCCAGCCACCGCAAGCCGCCGCCCGCGUCCACGGGCGGUGGGUCGGAGGCGAGCGCGGCGGCGUCCUCGGGCGAGAGUAGCGGCGGCCCGCAUCAGUGCACCGUCUGUGACCGGGGCUUCACGACCGGGCAUGCGCUCGGAGGGCACAAGCACUGCCACUACUGGGACGGCACCUCCGUUUCCAUGUCCAUGUCCGUCUCCGUUGGCGUCCUCUGCCGUCUGAGGAACUUCGACCUGAACCUGCUGUCGAUGCCGGAGAACGCAGGGGUGAUGAGGUGGGACGAGGAGGAGGUGCAGAGCCCUCUACCCACCAAGAAGCUGAGGCUUUUGCUGUAA
rnacentral:rRNA from 1 species